UUUGUUGUGAUUGAUGAGAGUCACUUUCGUCACAAACGAAAGUAUGGGAGAGGAAGAAUGGCUGGGGGAUGGAAAAGAAGAAAGUGGGUCUUUGGAAUGCUGGGCAUAAAACAUCGAGGGAAAACGAGGCCUAUCUUGCGACUUGUGGAGAAAAGAUCUCGAAGACAUCUUGUUCCUGUGAUUACCCUUCAUGUCCGGAUUGGUUCCUCAGUGAUAAGUGAUGAAUGGCGGGCCUAUCAUGUACUCCCAAAUUUAGGGAAUGAACACCAUACUGUUAACCACAGCAGGUGGUAUGUUGACCCUCGUACAGGUGCCCAUACCCAACAUCUGGAGAGAGCCUGGAGGUCUUACAAGGAGCAAAUCUGGAGACUCAGGGGUAACAGAAAUGAUAGACUACUGUCAGAACACCUUACAGUUAUUGAGUGGAAUGAGUGGCUCGCAAAAAAGCACAAAAAUGGUACAUUGGGGAGACUGAUAUAUGACAUUUCCAAAAAAUACAGAUAAUUCUAAAAGUUAAUGUUGCUACUGCUUUUUUUUUUUCUUUUUGAAAAUGUUAUUUGAAAACUUUAUGUAAAGAGCUACAGGUCAUAUAGUUUGCAUCCAGCUGUGUUCUGUAUUACCUCAAAUAUUGGCUGAUAGUUUAUGACAGUUUUUAUUUUUGUAUCAAAAUUUGUGUGUCCAAUCUGUAAGCAUUGUUCUCAUGUUUUUGUGAUUGGCAUCUUAAAAAUACAGUGCGUUCUGGAUCUAC